rfam:Triticum aestivum genome assembly, contig: Triticum_aestivum_CS42_TGACv1_scaffold_641106_T_1BL-0.284309_5BL-0.149373
CAUAUACUCCCUCCAUCCCAAAAUUCUUGUCUUAGGUUUGUCUAGAUACGAAUGUAUUUAAUACUAAAACGUGACUUGAUACAUCCAUAUCUAGACAAAUCUAAGACAAGAAUUUUGGGACGGAGGGAGUAGUAU